rnacentral:tRNA from 1 species
GCCGGGGUAGCUCAAUCGGUAGAGCGUGUGGCUCUUAGUUCACUAGGAGUAUGUUCUAUCCUUAGAACAGUAACCUCAAGGUCGCGGGUUCGAGCCCCGCCUUCGGCU